AGUCAAUAGAUACCCUGGUAGUCCAUGCCGUAAACGAUGAUUGCUAGGUGUGGGGGGUCUGACCCCUUCCGUGCCGGAGUUAAACACAAUAAGCAAUCCACCUGGGGAGUACGGCCGCAAGGUUGAAACUCAAAGGAAUUGACGGGGGCCCGCACAAGCAGUGGAGUAUGUGGUUUAAAUUCGAAGCAACGCGAAGAACCUUACCAGGUCUUGACAUCACCGAAUCCUGUAGAGAUACGGGAGUGCCCUUCGGGGUAACGGUGAGACAGGUGGUGCAUGGUUGUCGUCAGCUCGUGUCGUGAGAU
rnacentral:rRNA from 1 species